rnacentral:rRNA from 1 species
CAGCCGUAAACAAUGUGCGUUAGGUGUGUCGGUAACCACGUGUUACUGAUGCGCCGAAGAGAAAUCGUGAAACGCACCACCUGGGAAGUACGGUCGCAAGGCUGAAACUUAAAGGAAUUGGCGGGGGAGCACCACAACAGGUGGAGCCUGCGGUUUAAUUGGAUUCAACGCCGGACAUCUCACCGGAUAAGACAGCUGAAUGAUUGUCAAUCUGAAGGUUUUACAUGACUAGCUGAGAGGUGGUGCAUGGCGUAGACGUCU